GUGGGGAAUUUUGGACAAUGGGCGCAAGCCUGAUCCAGCAAUGCCGCGUGCAGGAAGAAGGCCUUCGGGUUGUAAAGCACUUUUGGCAGGAAAGAAAUAGUGCGUGCUAAUACCAUGCGCGAAUGACGGUACCUGCAGAAUAAGCACCGGCUAACUACGUGCCAGCAGCCGCGGUAAGACGUAGGGUGCAAGCGUUAAUCGGAAUUACUGGGCGUAAAGCGUGCGCAGGCGGUUUUGUAAGACAGGUGUGAAAUCCCCGGGCUCAACCUGGGAACUGCACUUGUGACUGCAAGGCUAGAGUGUGUCAGAGGGAGGUGGAAUUCCGCGUGUAGCAGUGAAAUGCGUAGAGAUGCGGAGGAACACCGAUGGCGAAGGCAGCCUCCUGGGAUAACACUGACGCUCAGGCACGAAAGCGUGGGGAGCAAACAGGAUUAGAAACCCCUGUAGUCC
rnacentral:rRNA from 1 species